AUGAACGCUGGCGGCGUGCUUAACACAUGCAAGUCGAACGGAGUUUUAAUGAAUGAUUGAUUUAGCUUGCUAUUGAGAGAAUUCAUUAAAGCUUAGUGGCGGACGGGUGAGUAACGCGUGAGGAACCUGCCUCUCAGUGGGGGACAACAGUUGGAAACGACUGCUAAUACCGCAUAACAUUCAUGGACCGCAUGAUCUGUGAAUCAAAGCUUUAUGUGCUGAGAGAUGGCCUCGCGUCUGAUUAGCUGGUUGGCGGGGUAACGGCCCACCAAGGCGACGAUCAGUAGCCGGUCUGAGAGGAUGAACGGCCACAUUGGGACUGAGAUACGGCCCAGACUCCUACGGGAGGCAGCAGUGGGGAAUAUUGGGCAAUGGGGGAAACCCUGACCCAGCAACGCCGCGUGAAGGAAGAAGGUUUUCGGAUCGUAAACUUCUAUCCUUGGUGAAGAUAAUGACGGUAGCCGAGAAGGAAGCCCCGGCUAACUACGUG
rnacentral:rRNA from 1 species